GACGGAGGGUGCAAGCGUUGUUCGGAUUUACUGGGCGUAAAGGGCGUGUAGGCGGUCGGUCAAGUCUGAUGUGAAAGCCCGGGGCUCAGCUCCGGAAGUGCAUCGGAUACUAGCCGGCUGGAGCGCGAUAGAGGAAGGUGGAAUUCCCGGUGUAGCAGUGAAAUGCGUAGAGAUCGGGAGGAACACCAGUGGCGAAGGCGGCCUUCUGGACCAAUACUGACGCUCAUGCACGAAAGCGUGGGGAGCGAACAGG
rnacentral:rRNA from 1 species